AGUUCCGUUUCUUUUCUAAUUAGCAGCGAACCCAUCUCCAUCGCUCCACUCCCACCACCACCAGCAUCUCCAUCGUCACCAACUCUGCAAAUACUCCCACAUUCGCCGCCGACAAUCGAGAAGUAUCAGUAACAUAUGAAACCUUUUUCUUAUUCUAUAAUUGAUUUUUAAAAUCAGAUCCAAAGAAAUCCAGAAUAAUCAUCGUCGGAGUGGAUUAACAUCAAACCUCAUCUAUUUCGUCAACAAAUCCAUCGAAGAAGAUAAGUUUUCAUUUAUUCAAUCGAAUCGAUGAUAUAAUCUCUGAUUUGUUUUAGAGUUUUCAAAACAUUCACAUUUAAUCUUUCGAUCUGUUAUGUUUUGGUGAUUCUUACUGUGAGUGAAAGAUGACGGGAAAAUUUAGGAAACCACUUUCAUCAAAAAAAAAUUAGGGUUCAUUAUCUGUGUUUCAGUUGUGUUUAUCGAUUUCAUAUGAUUUUAAAAUGAAUUUCAUAUUUGUAAAUGGUGGAUCUAAAUCUAUAGUACCCGUCAAAUCUUUAUGAAUUUAAUAUACUUUCGAUUUUCAAAAAUUUAGGGGUUCAUAAUUGUGUGUUAGCUAUUUUAAUUCCAUGUUAUGCAUGUGGUGGUGGUGGUGGUGCGGGUACUGGUACUUCUAGAGGCGUUGUUUCUGUUGAUAACAGUGGAAUUCAUGAAAUCACCUUUUUGGUGCUACUGUUGAGCUUAAUGAUGGUUGCUCAGAUGCAAUAUAGGUGAUGGUGCGUAUGUCGACUCUAACUUAAUCGUCGACAAUUAUUGUUGUCUGCAGCAAUAUAGGUGAUGAAACGUGCUGCUAUGUCCCUUGGAGUUGAUGGUUGAAAGAUGAACGGUGAUUCUUCUGAUCUUGUAGUAAGCUACAAUCCUGGUCCAGGCAAACAGAAUCUCAGAGGCAUUGAUGGACGAUUUAGGUUGUGUCUGAUGUGGUCAGUAGAUUUUUACUAUGUUGGCUUGUGUUUGAAUUAAUAAUUGUUAUCAUGUGUUUUAGUUGUUUAUCAUUGUUUCCAAUAAGAGAAAAAAAUUUAGUGCAUAAAUAUAUAUAGACACGCAAUUAGCUAAUUAAGAUAUAAAUGAUUUCAUGUUGGACUCUGUUGACUAUC